rnacentral:rRNA from 1 species
ACAGAAAAGACCCUAUGAAGCUUGACUGUAGCUUGAGAUUGGGUUCGGGCUCUUCUUGCGCAGCCUAGGUGGGAGGCGUUGAAGGUUUUCUUUUGGGAAAACUGGAGCCAUCAGUGAGAGACCACUCUGGAGGAGCUAGAAUUCUAAUGGCGUUCCUUGAAGCAGGACGCUUGACAGUUUCAGGUGGGCAGUUUGACUGGGGCGGUCACCUCCUAAAAGGUAACGGAGGUGUGCAAAGGUUCCCUCAGGCUGGACGGAAAUCAGCCGUAGAGUGUAAAGGCAGAAGGGAGCUUGACUGCAAGACCUACAAGUCGAGCAGGGGCGAAAGCCGGCCUUAGUGAUCCGACGGUUCCAUGUGGAAGGGCCGUCGCUCAACGGAUAAAAGUUACUCUAGGGAUAACAGGCUGAA